CUGGGCCCGUGCCCGGUGCGGCUCCCCGGGAGCGGGGAUGAUGCGGUCUGUGCCGGCAGCCGCCGUGGCACCGAGCCCGGCGUAGGUGUGCUUUCCCUGCGCCGUACAGCGGGGAUGCACGUGGCUCAAGUGCCGUAAUAGGAGCGUAGCUUUGGCAGUCCACAAGAUAGCUUCUUAACACGUUGACCUUCAGCAUUCUUACUUGGUGAUAUUCACAUCUAACAUGACUUGGAAACUUCAGCUUUGUGCUGACGUCUGGUUGGUGUUUCUGAGACUAUUAACAAUAGCUACCUUCCUCAGACUCUCCAGCAAUGGCUCAUAAACUUCCUGGGAUCUGUAACCUUCUUGUUGAAAAUUACUGGUUUGCAUUA